rnacentral:tRNA from 1 species
GGGGUGGUAGCUCAGUGGUUAGAGCAGGGGGCUCAUAACCCCUAGGUCGCGGGUUCGAUCCCCGCCCGCCCCA